rnacentral:rRNA from 1 species
UAGUCCACGCCGUAAACGAUGAUUACUCGCUGUAGGCGAUACACAGUCUGUGGCUAAGCGAAAGUUUUAAGUAAUCCACCUGGGGAGUACGAUCGCAAGAUUGAAACUCAAAGGAAUUGACGGGGGCCCGCACAAGCGGAGGAACAUGUGGUUUAAUUCGAUGAUACGCGAGGAACCUUACCUGGACUUAAAUGUGCGUUGCAUGGAUCAGAGAUGGUCCUUUCUUCGGACUACGUACAAGGUGCUGCAUGGUUGUCGUCAGCUCGUGCCGUGAGGUGUCGGGUUAAGUCCCAUAACGAGCGCAACCCCUAUCGUUAGUUGCCAUCAUUAAGUUGGGCACUCUAGCGAGACUGCCGGUGAUAAGCCGGAGGAAGGCGGGGAUGACGUCAAGUCCUCAUGGCCCUUAUGGGCUGGGCUACACACGUGCUACAAUGGCAGUGACAGAGGGACGCUACUACGCGAGUAGGUGCAAAUCUCAAAAAAGCUGUCUCAGUUCGGAUU